AACGAACGCUGGCGGCAGGCUUAACACAUGCAAGUCGAACGCAUCCUUCGGGGUGAGUGGCAGACGGGUGAGUAACGCGUGGGCACGUGCCCUUCAGUUCGGAAUAACCCAGGGAAACUUGGGCUAAUACCGGAUACGUGCGAGAGCAGAAAGAUUUAUCGCUGAAGGAUCGGCCCGCGUCUGAUUAGCUAGUGGGUGGGGUAAGGGCCCACCAAGGCGACGAUCAGUAGCUGGUCUGAGAGGAAGAUCAGCUACAUUGGGACGGAGACACGGCCCAAACUCCUACGGGAGGCAGCGGUGGGGAAGAUUGGACAAUGGGCGCAAGCCUGAUCCAGCCAUGCCGCGUGAGUGAUGACGGCCUUAGGGUUGUAAAGCUCUUUCGUCCGGGACGAUAAUGACGGUACCGGAAGAAGAAGCCCCGGCUAACUUCGUGCCAGCAGCCGCCGCCG
rnacentral:rRNA from 1 species